UACAGAGGGUGCAAACGUUGCUCGGAAUCAUUGGGCGUAAAGCGCACGUAGGCGGUCUGAUAAGUCGGAUGUGAAAGCCCUGGGCUCAACCCGGGAAUUGCCUUUGAGACUGGGGGUCGUUGAGUAUGGGAGAGGGUGGCGGAAUACCCAGUGUAGAGGUGAAAUUCGUAGAUAUUGGGUAGAACACCAGUGGCGAAGGCGGCCACCUGGCCCAUAACUGACGCUGAGGCGCGAAAGCGUGGGGAGCAAACAGGAUUAGAAA
rnacentral:rRNA from 1 species